UCAAAAUCCUCUAAACACAAAAAUUGUUUUAUUUGUUGACAUAACCUGAAGUAAGGAAAAAUCGUGUCUUUGCGCCUGCACUGAGUGUGGUUGUCCACGUGUGCUGCUUUGGAAACAUCGAAACGUGCGGACAUACGUGCUGCUGAGGCUGCGUAACAGGUGGGAUAUGCAAGCUACCCUCUUUCUAAAAUCCGAAGGGAAGAAAAACUGAAUUCUGAAUUACAUCUGGCUCCAAGAUUUCGCAUAAGGAAUUGUUGAGCAACAUCUCAGAAAACAGCUGCAUUCAGACCCGCACAGCUCAUUCUUUAGAGAAAUCACUCCAAGGGUCAAACAUCUGGAAACACAAUAGCAAGGUCUGCAGCUGCUUCUCUGGUUCCUGUGCAGAUUGGACACUUUGUUUCAUCGUCAUCCUAGAACCUGCAGAAACGGAGCAUCUUGGGGGAGGAGCCUGGAGCAGGACCUGGCACACAGCAGCCUCCCAUGUGGACGGAGGGACCCCCAGGUUCCCAGCCUAGGAGCAGCCCUGCACACA
rnacentral:lncRNA from 1 species